GGGAGCUGUAGUUCAGGAGCAAUAGUUAUAAUCACAGAGUUUCUAAACUAUAUAUUUGGUUCUAUUCCUUUCAGGAUAUGUUGUUCUCUCAAGAACUGUAUUUACCAAGCCAACUGUUUAUUGUUGUUACAGUAGCAGGCAGCAAAGUUUUAGUUGACAGGCGGUUGUGUGCAUCUCUUUAUUUCAAUCACAUCUCUGAGGAUAGGCAGCACUGAAGCCAUUGGUGGCAAAUUGCAUACCAACAUUAGAGAUACCAUGAUGAGAUCCUGAGGCCCACUGUCGUGCCAUUCAUCCGCUGCCAUCACCUCAUGUUUCAGCAUGUUAAUGCACGGCCCCAUGUCGCAAGGAUCUGGACACAAUUCCUGGAAACUGAAAAUGUCUCAGUUCUUCCAUGGCCUGCAUACUCACUAGACAUGUCACCCAUUUAGCAUGUUUGGGAUGUUCUGGAUCGAUAUGUACAACAGUUCCAGUUCCUGCCAAUAUCCAGAAACUUCGUACAGCCAUUGAAGAGGAGUGGG
rnacentral:lncRNA from 1 species